UGUAAGGAAUCUCACCUCCUGAUCAGGGGUC
rnacentral:piRNA from 1 species